UGUCCAGUAGCACCUUAGAGACCAAUUAAAUUUGUUCUGGGUAUAAGCUUUCUGGUAUACCCAGGACAAACUUAGUUGGUCUCUAAGGUGCUAGUGGACA